UACGAAGGGUGCAAGCGUUAAUCGGAAUUACUGGGCGUAAAGGGUGCGUAGGCGGUUAUUUAAGUCUGCCGUGAAAUCCCCGGACUCAACCUGGGAAUGGCGGUGGAUACUGGAUAGCUAGAGUGUGUCAGAGGAUGGUGGAAUUCCCGGUGUAGCGGUGAAAUGCGUAGAGAUCGGGAGGAACAUCAGUGGCGAAGGCGGCCAUCUGGGACAACACUGACGCUGAAGCACGAAAGCGUGGGGAGCAAACAGG
rnacentral:rRNA from 1 species